rnacentral:rRNA from 1 species
AUUGAACGCUGGCGGCAGGCUUAACACAUGCAAGGCGGGCGAGCGGCGGACGGGUGAGUAAUGUAUGGGGAACUGCCUGAUGGCGGGGGAUAACUACUGGAAACGGUAGCUAAUACCGCAUACCAUCAGAUGAACCCAUAUGGGAUUAGCUAGUAGGUAAGGUAACGGCUUCCCUAGGCGACGAUCCCUAGCUGGUCUGAGAGGAUGAUCAGCCACACUGGGACUGGGACACGGCCCAGACUCCUACGAGAGGCAGCAGUGGGGAAUAUUGCACAAUGGGCGCAAGCCUGAUGCAGCCAUGCCGCGUGUAUGAAGAAGGCUUUCGGUUUGUAAAGUACUUUCAGUCGGGAGGCGUUACCGACAGAAGAAGCACCGGCUAACUCCGUGCCAGCCGCCGCGGUAAUAC